rnacentral:rRNA from 1 species
UUAUCCAAGAAGAAAAAGAUCAAGCAGGGGAAGAACAUUGAUGUUCUCCUCGGUACUGAUGCAUCCGAAGCACAAGGCUUCUUGUUUGAGCGAGGAGAUGAUCAUGCUUUCAUGGUGUUUCUAGAUGGAGGUGAGGGAGUAGAUGGCAUACCUUGGAGUGUGGUUGGAGAUGCUAUGGGAACCAGUGAACAACUUGAGCUUUGUCGAAGUGCAAGGGUUAGAGAUCUCCAUGAUGAAGAGUUUGAGUCAGACGAAGAAGAAGUAGAGGAGAUAGAUUCAGAGGAGGAGGACAUAGAGUACAAGGAUGAUGAAGAUGAAGUGGUGAUUGGGCGCACUUAUGAGGAUGAGGACUGA